rnacentral:misc_RNA from 1 species
CCCUUUUGUAACAUCAAUACAACAGCUACUCUACACUGAACAAGUUCCCUCUUGUAUUGCGCAUCACCUAGGCUAGCAUCUUUACAGCACCGAAGAAAAGCGUCUCAGGGCAUGGCGCAUCACGCCUUCCCAUUGCCUGUCUUCUUUGAGACGAAGAGGUGGCGGACGACCGAGAGCUUGCUUGUCGCGCGAGAAACGAGCGAGGAGCCAGAGGAGCUCCUACUGCUCAGUGACGACCUCGUUUCUUCCGAUUCCUCGCCUUCGUUUGGCUCUGAAAGCGGAGGUGGAUGUAUUGUCAUAAUGAAAGUUUCAAGCAUUCGGAUGAUCUGGCUGAAACUGGGUCGCAUGGCAGGAUCCUCAACCCAGCAUGAUUGUACUAUGAACACAAGCUCCUGGGGGGUCUCCUCAGGGAGAGCUGGGCGCUUUUGCUGUUG